UAGAGUUUGAUCCUGGCUCAGAUUGAACGCUGGCGGCAUGCCUUACACAUGCAAGUCGAACGGCAGCACGGGGGCAACCCUGGUGGCGAGUGGCGAACGGGUGAGUAAUACAUCGGAACGUGCCCUGUAGUGGGGGAUAGCUCGGCGAAAGCCGGAUUAAUACCGCAUACGACCUACGGGUGAAAGCGGGGGACCGCAAGGCCUCGCGCUACUGGAGCGGCCGAUGCCCGAUUAGCUAGUUGGUGGGGUAAUGGCCCACCAAGGCGACGAUCGGUAGCUGGUCUGAGAGGACGACCAGCCACACUGGGACUGAGACACGGCCCAGACUCCUACGGGAGGCAGCAGUGGGGAAUUUUGGACAAUGGGCGAAAGCCUGAUCCAGCCAUGCCGCGUGCGGGAAGAAGGCCUUCGGGUUGUAAACCGCUUUUGGCAGGAACGAAACGGCGCUUGCUAAUACCGAGCGCUAAUGACGGUACCUGCAGAAUAAGCACCGGCUAACUACGUGCCAGCAGCCCCGGUCAA
rnacentral:rRNA from 1 species